AUUGAACGCUGGCGGCAUGCCUUACACAUGCAAGUCGAACGGCAGCACGGGAGCAAUCCUGGUGGCGAGUGGCGAACGGGUGAGUAAUGUAUCGGAACGUGCCCAGUCGUGGGGGAUAACGUAGCGAAAGCUACGCUAAUACCGCAUACGAUCUAUGGAUGAAAGCGGGGGAUCGCAAGAUCUCGCGCGAUUGGAGCGGCCGAUAUCAGAUUAGGUAGUUGGUGGGGUAAAGGCUCACCAAGCCGACGAUCUGUAGCUGGUCUGAGAGGACGACCAGCCACACUGGGACUGAGACACGGCCCAGACUCCUACGGGAGGCAGCAGUGGGGAAUUUUGGACAAUGGGCGCAAGCCUGAUCCAGCAAUGCCGCGUGCAGGAUGAAGGCCUUCGGGUUGUAAACUGCUUUUGUACGGAACGAAACGGCGAGCUCUAAUACAGUUUGCUAAUGACGGUACCGUAAGAAUAAGCACCGGCUAACUACGUGCCAGCCGCCGCCGUAA
rnacentral:rRNA from 1 species